UCUGACAAAGCCAAACCUAUCGUGAGAUAGGGACGGAAAGCCACGGGUCUUCCGAAAAAGAUAGCCGGGUUGCCUGAU
rnacentral:ncRNA from 1 species